UACGUAGGGGGCAAGCGUUGUCCGGAUUUAUUGGGCGUAAAGAGCGUGUAGGCGGCCAUACAGGUCAGCUGUGAAAACUCGAGGCUCAACCUCGAGACGUCGGUUGAAACCGUAUGGCUAGAGUCCGGAAGAGGAGAGUGGAAUUCCCGGUGUAGCGGUGAAAUGCGCAGAUAUCAGGAGGAACACCAAUGGCGAAGGCAGCUCGCUGGGACGUGACUGACACUGAGACGCGAAAGCGUGGGGAGCGAACAGG
rnacentral:rRNA from 1 species